rnacentral:rRNA from 1 species
UGGGGAAUAUCGCACAAUGGGCGAAAGCCUGAUGCAGCGACGCCGCGUGAGGGAUGACGGCCUUCGGGUUGUAAACCUCUUUCAGCAGGGAAGAAGCGUGAGUGACGGUACCUGCGGAAGAAGCACCGGCUAACUACGUG